rnacentral:sRNA from 1 species
CUGAAAGGGACAACAGCAAACGAGCAACACAAAGGUCCCUGCAGUCUGAAGUUCAUCUUAGCCAUUUGUAAUAAAUGGAACAUAAAUUCCAACUGCAUCCUGGAGACUCCUCAAAGCGACUACAUGUUUGCAUUAACAGAUUGUGAUCAUUGGCUGAGGAAUGAGAAAAGGAGGGAAGUACAUUGAGUUUUGAUCUUUAUAAGAGGCAUCAGUGCCCUAAUGGAAUGGCAGAAAAGAUCCCUCCUCUCUGGUAAGAUAUUUCCUAUUUCUCAUCUUAAAACAAAGGGGACCACUAUUCAUUUUUCACUGUAGGAAUGUAUUUUUAACUUAAGAACUGCUUAAAAUGGAAUAAUCAUAACGGGUGAUAAUUAACGGUUAUGUGGUCUCCUAAUUCACAUUCUUUACUGUACAUUAUUAGAUCUCUUUCUAAAAGUGUGGCUAAGCAUACACAUUAUCCAUUAUAACAUUUAAGCAGAGAUUUUCUAAUAUACCUACCUCUUUGUGGUGGGCUUAAAAUCUCUACUGCAGGGGUUGGGGAUUUAGCUCAG